rnacentral:rRNA from 1 species
CCUACGGGAGGCAGCAGUGAGGAAUAUUGGUCAAUGGACGAGAGUCUGAACCAGCCAAGUAGCGUGAAGGAUGACUGCCCUAUGGGUUGUAAACUUCUUUUAUAUGGGAAUAAAAUGUUCCACGUGUGGGAUUUUGUAUGUACCAUAUGAAUAAGGAUCGGCUAACUCCGUGCCAGCAGCCGCGGUAAUACGGAGGAUCCGAGCGUUAUCCGGAUUUAUUGGGUUUAAAGGGAGCGUAGGUGGAUUGUUAAGUCAGUUGUGAAAGUUUGCGGCUCAACCGUAAAAUUGCAGUUGAAACUGGCAGUCUUGAGUGCAGUAGAGGUGGGCGGAAUUCGUGGUGUAGCGGUGAAAUGCUUAGAUAUCACGAAGAACUCCGAUUGCGAAGGCAGUUCACUGGACCGUAACUGACACUGAGGCUCGAAAGUGUGGGUAUCAAACAGGAUUAGAUACCCCUGUAGUC